GAGCCUUAGACAUAAGGAUAUUAUUGAAAUCCAGGGGUAGGUAAAGGAGGCUUGAAGACAAAGCCUGGACAUUGUACCAUUUAGAGGAAGUAUAGACAGCCUGAGUCAGCAAAGCACACGGAGUGGUAGCAGCCAGUGAGUUAGGAGGAAACUAGACCCCUUCAUGUCUUUGAUAUAUAUAGAGGUAAAUCAUUAUGAUACAAUACGAGAAUGGUUAAAGGUGUCAGAAUCGUAAGUACCAGAGAGUUUGAAAGGAAGAAAUAUUACUAGUGUUUAAUGGAGCACUUAAUGUGCAUUAAGACCUAUGCUUGCAUUGUGCACAAAACAUCCGCAGCUAUCUACUGCUUUAAAUUCUGCAUUUUAUAAAAAUUACUAGCAUUUAGUGAGUACUUGAUAUGAGUUAGGAUUGGUGUUCACGUUAUGCACAAGAAUUUACGAGGUAACUUUUCUACUAAAUUCUCCAUAUUACAGAAGAGGCAUUAAGUCUUAAGAGGGUGAAGUAACUGGGCCGAGGCCAAGUGAGAUUGCUGCAUGUCCAUCUGACUCCACAGCCCUUUGGGUGAGGAGACUAAGAUCCAAGAAGGCUGAGCAAAAUGCCCAAAAUUACAGUCAACUAAGGCAGAACAGGGACUCCCAUUUGCUUUCUGCUGCCUUUCCAAUGACCUACAUCUGCCUACCAGUACCUUGACUAUGGGCUGGGGGAGAGGGAUCCAACCUACUUCCAGAGUUGAAGAGAUAGUGUCAUAUUCCUAUUAGUAAUCUGGAACCUGGAGGGAAGAGGACACAUGGAGCAAUGUGCCAGCCCACAGCCAACACACACCAUGAGUGAGAAAUAAAACUUGAUUGUUGUAAGCCA
rnacentral:lncRNA from 13 species